AACGCGAAGAACCUUACCUGGGCUCGAAAUGUAGAGGACGGUACUAGAGAUAGUACUUCUCGAAAGGGUCUCUAUAUAGGUGCUGCAUGGCUGUCGUCAGCUCGUGCCGUGAGGUGUUUGGUUAAGUCCAGCAACGAGCGCAACCCUUAUCGUUAGUUGCCAACGCGUGAAGGCGGGAACUCUAACGAGACUGCCUAGGUUAACUAGGAGGAAGGUGAGGAUGACGUCAAGUCCGCAUGGCCUUUAUGUCCAGGGCUACACACGUGCUACAAUGGUCGCCACAGAAGGCAGCGAAACCGCAAGGUGAAGCAAAUCCUAGAAAGGCGAUCUCAGUUCAGAUUGCAGUCUGCAACUCGGCUGCAUGAAGUUGGAAUUGCUAGUAAUGGCGUGUCAGCAACAACGCCGUGAAUACGUUCCCGGGCCUUGUACACACCGAGUAUA
rnacentral:rRNA from 1 species